GUCUAAUGGCUCAGUCUGUAGAGCAUGAGAUACCUAACCUCAGGGUUGUGGGUUUGAGCCCCAUGUUGGGCA